rnacentral:misc_RNA from 1 species
UACGUAGGGCGCGAGCGUUAUCGGGAAUUAUUGGGCGUAAAGAGCUUGUAGGCGGUUUGUCGCGUCUGCUGUGAAAGCCCGGGGCUUAACCCCGGGUGUGCAGUGGGUACGGGCAGACUAGAGUGCAGUAGGGGAGACCGGAGUUCCUGGUGUAGCGGUGAAAUGCGCAGAUAUCAGGAGGAACACCGAUGGCGAAGGUAGGUCUCUGGGCUGUCACUGACGCUGAGAAGCGAAAGCAUGGGGAGCGAACAGG